UCAGAAAAUAAUAUAUUUAGUAUAUAAAUUUUGGAGAUUUAUUGAGAUAAAAUCUUUUCUGAA
rnacentral:tRNA from 1 species